CCGCGAUUAACGUAGGGGUUUUUCAGCGGUUUUUUUGGGAGAACAAGUUUUAUCCUUCCGAAAUGUUUUCGGAAAACGUGUUUUGGUAAAACCCUUAUGCAUCGAGAUUUGUUUACGAGGUUUUGAUAAGAUUUAUCGUUUCCCUUCUUGUUUACAGGGAGGAAUCGCGAGCUUGUUAUAGUGCUCUUCCUGUGGCGGAAGGUCGCGACUAAGUUUUCGAUUUUGUUGAAAACCACGGCGUUUGCGUAAGCGUUGGCCAUAGGAGCAGUCAGUGCUGCGAGUUUGUCUUUCAUAUAUCCAAACAUCGUUUCGAUCAAGCGUUUUGUGGCUAUGAGUAAGAGUAAUCCGUAACCCCCCCUCCUUCUAGCGCCAAACUGUGGGAACCGAAAUUCGCACUGUCGAUUUCCGUUUAAAUAAUGAAACUAGGAAAACCCUAAUUUCCCAGAGGUCUCGGAUCUCUGCGAGAGCCAACGACAAGUGAUCGAAUAUAUGCGGAAAUCAUGAAAAGAUAACAAACGAGUUUAGAGAAAACAGUAGAUCUCAUUUCGAGUCCGCGUAAGAGCGUUGCGAUCAUUACAAGAGAAU
rnacentral:lncRNA from 1 species